rnacentral:tRNA from 5 species
GGAGAGAUGCCCGAGAGGCUGAAGGGGCACGACUGGAAAUCGUGUGUAUGUCCACAAAGAUGUACCGGGGGUUCGAAUCCCCCUCUCUCCGCCA